CGCGUAGGCGGAUCGUUAAGUCAGAGGUGAAAUCCCGGAGCUCAACUUCGGAACUGCCUUUGAUACUGGCGAUCUUGAGUAUGAGAGAGGUAUGUGGAACUCCGAGUGUAGAGGUGAAAUUCGUAGAUAUUCGGAAGAACACCAGUGGCGAAGGCGACAUACUGGCUCAUUACUGACGCUGAGGCGCGAAGCGUGGGAGCAAACA
rnacentral:rRNA from 1 species